rnacentral:lncRNA from 1 species
UGGGCCAACCCAUGCAUGCCGCGCCUGCGUUCACCCGUGCUGGGCCAUGCGCCCUUGACCGGCCAACAUGCGCCCGCAACCGGCCCGUGCAUGCCUAGGCUGGCCCAUGUAGCCACAGGCCUGCACCAGCCUGUGGGUCCCUCUGACGGCCCAUGGGCCAUACCAACUGCUCCCAACCUACUUCCUCACACGUAUCUCUACUGUCUGAACUUCGUUUGGAUU